UCUAUGAAAGAAAUACAGACAACAUAUGAGAAACUAGAGAAGAAUAAAAAGAAGUUGGAACAGGUAGUAACCUCAGAAGUUGUGUAGAAGUCAACGUGACACAAGUAGCAUUUCAAGAAAGCUUAGCACAGUUUUAAGAGAAAAUAAUAAGGCUUCAGUAAGAAGUCAAAUGGAACUCAGAAUUAAAGAGCUGGAAUUUGAAUUAUCCAAAAUGAAAAAUUCUCAAGAUCUUACUAAAACAGAAUUGGGCAGAUACAAGCACCUCUACCUAGAAGAAGUAACACAUCGAAUGUCAUUGACAAAUGAACUGAACAAGACUAGUGAGAGGCUGGCAGAGACCAGUACCAAACUUCUGGUGGAGAAGCAGCAGAAGCAAACUUUGCUUGACACUAUUAAUAUGAGGCCAGCCCUUGAUCUGCCUUAUGGUAGAAAUGUUAACUAUUCACUUAAACAGUUCACUAUUCAAUAGAAAUGUUGCUCUAAGAGAAAACGUGGUGAUUCGUACCUCAAACUCACGGCGUUCAAGUAAUGACUUCGAGACUUUCUUGACCAAGCUCUAGAAGGCCAUACCACAGUCUGGGGAGUCAUCAGUGCCAUCGCUGUCCAUCAAAGUCAGCUACUCUCAUCACCAGAUCAUCUCAGAAGAGCAGGAGAGGCCCUUACAGAGCAUCUGUUUGACUCAUGUUGACCCAUUAAGAGUACAGUACAAGACUCACAGCAUGGGAAUGUCUGCUGGAGAUCCCACUAAAGUGGAGACCUUGGCAAACACCAUUGGAAGAAAUAAGCAACCGGGGACUGCUGCUCUGAAGAUGAUUAAAUAUUAC